rnacentral:rRNA from 1 species
AUGGUGGGCGACUCUAAGGAGACUGCCGGUGACAAACCGGACGGAAGGUGGGGAGUGACGUCAAGUCAUCAUGGCCCUUACGGCCUGGGCUACACACGUGCUACAAUGGUCGGUACAAAGGGUUGCCAAGCCGCGAGGUGGAGCUAAUCCCAUAAAACCGAUCGUAGUCCGGAUCGCAGUCUGCAACUCGACUGCGUGAAGUCGGAAUCGCUAGUAAUCGUGAAUCAGAAUGUCACGGUGAAUACGUUCCCGGGCCUU